ACCGGCAAACGGGUGCGGAACACGUACGCAACCUUCCUUCAAGCGGGGAAUAGCCCAGAGAAAUUUGGAUUAAUACCCCAUAAGAAUGUGGACUGGCAUCAGUCAGCAUUUAAAGAUUUAUCACUUGAAGAUGGGCGUGCGUCUGAUUAGGUAGUUGGUGAGGUAACGGCUCACCAAGCCGACGAUCAGUAACUGGCGUGAGAGCGCGACCAGUCACACGGGCACUGAGACACGGGCCCGACUCCUACGGGAGGCAGCAGUAAGGAAUAUUGGUCAAUGGACGCAAGUCUGAACCAGCCAUGCCGCGUGGAGGAUGAAGGCCCUCUGGGUUGUAAACUUCUUUUAUUUGGGACGAAACACUUCUUUUCUAAGGAGCUUGACGGUACCAGAUGAAUAAGCACCGGCUAACUCCGUGCCAGCAGUCGCGGUAAUACGGAGGGUGCAAGCGUUAUCCGGAUUCACUGGGUUUAAAGGGUGCGUAGGCGGACAUGUAAGUCCGUGGUGAAAUCUCUAAGCUUAACUUGGAAACUGCCAUGGA
rnacentral:rRNA from 1 species